GCCCUGUAUAAUUAGAUCUACAACCCAAUAAAAAAUGGAAAAAAUGAAAUAUGAUAUUCUACUAUGAUCACAAGAUGCCUUUUCCAAGUCUCACAGAGUCUUGGAAUUUGCACUUAAGGUCAAACACAUCCCAACAAAACUAGUUUAUAAAAUGAGGACUACCCAUAGCCUAUUUUCGAAACCAAGCACUACUUAACUUUUAUUUGAAGCUGAUGUGAGAUGUCAACCUGCUAAGAGCCAGUGUUUUGGUGGCUUCAACUAUGACGCUGCACUUAGCUUUCUGGUCAAUCCCUCCAUAGGUAGGUUUUCAAAGACAAUGAAGCCUAGAGGUAACCACAACUAAGCUGGCUUAUAAGUUUCAACAAACCAUUUCACUCCCAAGACUAUAUAGCAUGGCAAUGCAAGUUGCCCAAUAAUAGAUCUAGCAUAGACUUUGAUAUCUUCUUUUUUUAGUUUCUUUAUUAAAGAAGAUAGACUAAUCUAAAACAUGAACUGAGAUAUGAAUUUUCUAUCCUAAAUAUCAAUAUUGAUGAAA
rnacentral:sRNA from 1 species